rnacentral:rRNA from 1 species
UACGGAGGGUGCAAGCGUUGUCCGGAUUUAUUGGGUUUAAAGGGCGCGUAGGCGGCUUUGCAAGUGACGGGUGAAAUCCCUCGGCUUAACCGAGGAACUGCCUGUCAGACUGCAUGGCUUGAGACCGGGAGAGGUGAGUGGAAUUCCCAGUGUAGCGGUGAAAUGCGUAGAUAUUGGGAGGAACACCAGCGGCGAAGGCGGCUCACUGGACCGGUACUGACGCUGAGGCGCGAAAGCGUGGGGAGCAAACAGG